rnacentral:rRNA from 1 species
UACAGAGGUCCCAAGCGUUGUUCGGAUUCACUGGGCGUAAAGGGUGCGUAGGUGGUGAGGUAAGUCGGAUGUGAAAUCUCCGAGCUCAACUCGGAAAUGGCAUUGGAAACUACCUUGCUCGGAAGGUUGGAGGGGGGAUCUGGAAUGACUUGGUGGUAGCAGUGAAAUGCGUAGAUAUCAAGUGGAACACCAGUGGCGAAGGCGAAGUCCCUGGACAACUCCUGACACUGAGGCACGAAAGCUAGGGGAGCAAACAGG